GCGGCCCGCGGCUCCUACCCGCUGCGCGGGGCGCGUUGCCGGCCUAGGAGCUGCGGGCGAGCGGCCCAGGCGGCGGCCCGGGGGAGGGUGUUUGACUCGGGCCCCGCGGGCUCGGGGCGGCUCGGGCCCAGGGAAGGGACCGAGAUCGGUGGCGGACGAGGCGCGGGAAGCAGCGGCGGUUGGGGGCGGAGGGGAGCGGGGGGGAGGCGGCGUGGGGCUGCCCUGCCGCUCGCUCUUCACCGUUUCAGACGGAGGGAGGCCGCUCUUCACCGUUUCAGUGAGGCCAGGCUCGCAGCUCGGGGCAUUCCUGAGGCGUCGCUUGACAAGCUCCCGCAGAUCUCCCUUCUGCGCCCUGCAUCACAAACUGUUCUCCUUAAAAUUUCAAGCCAUAGUGUGGUUCUAAGAUGCACUACAAGACUUGUCAAUGCCAAACUAUUUUAAGGAAAAUAAACAGCUGUGAAAACAUGGGCUUCCAGCAAAAUGUUUUUUGUCUCUAUAACGUGUGUAGAUAUAUCUAUUAAUUACAUUUUUCAGGCAAUGUAGGUGAUGUACAUUCACUUUGUAUAUGUAGUUUUAUAUGUGUAUGAAAAAUUGUGUACUUUUUUUUAAGUAAAAUCUUAAAUACACCUACUUUCUGGGGAAGAAUGGUAUUAUGAGCUCGGGUCAUAAUGUAAAGAAAUAUACUUUGAAAUGGUAAUUCUCAGUUCCCAUCAAAGCAAAAUGAUAGAUGAGACAUUAAAUAGGUCAGUUGCUGAACUGCUCCUACUUUCUCUGUCUCUGUAACAUGGAACUAUAUCACUGUAGAUAAACCACCUGAAGUCUGAGAUCUACUUGUAUCUGGAAAAAAUGGCUUUGAGAUAUCUGGUAACCAGGAAGUACAAAGUAUCUACAGAAAAAAAAAAUGGUUAUGGAAUGCUAUUGAUCUAUUAGUCAAAUAGUAAGUGUUGAGGAAUUUUAGCACUAGGGGAGCAUUUUAGUGCAGGGUAGAGACAUCUGAGAGAGCUUUAACAAGCUAGUUUGGAUAUGCAAGGAAGUCUGUGGCAUUGCAAAUUCCAGUCAGGUUAAUAUGUGCUGCUUCAGAGAAGUAACCUAAACAUUUUACAUGCUGAAAUGUCAUUCAUCCAUUAAGAAGCUACAAUGGUAGAUCUUCCCAUUUAUUCCUGGUAAUAUGUUUCCAGUUGGUUCCAGGGGAAUUACUUUUUAUGUCUUUUUUUUUUCUGUUUUUCCUUAAUACGUCCUGAUUAUUUUUUUCCUUUCCUUUACGUGUGUUACUUUAUGUUCUCUCGUAUAUGGCUGUCCUCGCCUUCUCUGACUUCAGGCAAAUGGCUUUUUUCUCCAGUACUUGUUUUUUUUUUUUUUUUUUUUCCUGUCUCUUAGAAAUAUUCUUUCCAAAGGAUCAGUCCAAGCUCCCGCCAUAGACCUGGCAGAAUACCUCAGCCUCUCGGAGCAGAAUCUUGUUUUAAAAGAAAACCACAUAUUUGUCACUAAAGUCUUAAAACUUUCAUAGCACAGUUAUAUCUUAAUAUUGUAGAAAUGUUGAUUGGAAGGGACCUUUGGGGGUCCACCUUCUACUCACAGCAGGAGUCACCAGCACUAGGUCAGGGUCAUGGCUUGGCCCCCUGAGCCUGGACACCACCAGGACUGAGAUCUCCCAUCUCUGUGGUGAUCUGUCCCAGGGCUGCUCCCUCUCGGGGAAAAAGUAUUUCCUUACAUCCAGCCUGAACCCCCUGGGCUGUUAUCUGUGCUGUUGCCCCCUUGUUAUGUUAUCUGUCACUGCCGAGAAGGGUUUGGCCCCAUCUGCCCCCUCUGUCCCUGCCCAUCCCACAGCCCGGGGCUGCUUGCAGGACCCCCCCUGCAGCCUCCCCAUGGCCAGAUCCAACAAGCCCAGCUCCCUCCCAUCUCCUCAUGGAUCAGGUGCUCCAGGCCCUGACCAGCUUCCAGUGUGGGUGUAUUUGGCAUCCACCCACUCCAGCACCAUGUAGCAGGGAUAAUAAUGUCCUUAAUAUCAUUGAGGCUGUACGGCCAAAGCCUGCAUUAAGGAAGGAUGGCCCAGACCUCCGGCAGAGACAGGCACACCUGCAUGGGAGCACUCUCUGGGCUGUGUAAGGGCAAGCAGGACACAGCAGCCACCUGGAAGGAGGCACAUUGGCAUUAGAGCCUGCAACAAGGCUGGGAGCACUGACCCACCCGCUCUAAGUUACCUAUCUGACAUACUGACACCAGCACAGAGCUUGGCCCAACUUGUAUGAUAUAUAGAGUGCAAGUCUAGCUGUUCUUUCCUUUAGCUUAGCAGUCAUAUGCAAGUAGAACAACCCCAAUCAAGGGACUGGCCAGGUCUUAACAGAUAACUAGAAAUACUCUGUACCUCACAGUUAUCAAACUGUGAUAAUAUAAUUUUAGGUUUUUUUUCUUCAAUGAUUGCUGUAGAAGAACAAACAAACUGAGCUCCAGCUGAGAAGCAGCAGCAUUUCAGAGGCUAAUAAGGCAAGUUUGGAAAAUACAAUAAUUGGCUGAUUUGGGAUGCUACUGGGAUCCAUCAAAAGGAAAAUCAUCUAAAUUUAAGAAUUAAUCAGUAGUUUCCUAAAAGAUGUUGAGGUAAUGGACUUCAAAUUUCAACUUACAUUGUAAAAGAAAAUAGUAACUUCAAACAAUACAUAUUAAAACAGAAAAUUGUCCAAAAAAGGUUAAAAUAGGGGUUCUUUCUAAUUAACGUAAUUACUCAGAUGUCUUGGCAACCUGUCUGCUGUUUUCUUCAACCCUUCUGCUCUUGCAUAAACGUCACUGAAUUUUUAAAGCAUUUUAGACUUAGCUUUUCUCUGAGACAGACCCUUAUGACUUUAUUUUAUUCUUACUUGUAAUUUAUAUAUUGUUCAGGCGCUUGAUAAAAAAAAAAAUCAAACAGCUCACUUGGGAACCUGCUCUUCAAGAGCAGUUAACUUCUUAUGCAACAUCAAUUUUACUACAGGAUGGGACAUUAUUAAACAUGAUCCCUUGUCUACAUAAGCAGGAGAUGCUUCCCCUACAGAUGAGUCAGUUGAGAAUUUUGGUAGCUAUUAGAUACAAUAACUUGUGGAACAGAUCUGCUGCUUCUGAUCUAUAGUUUCUUCACUGUACCUGUUCCACUAAACAUUACUUCGCAGGUAAAAAAUAGAUACAAAAUUUCCUUCUUACACCUGAUCUAGCUCAUGUUGAAAUCCAGACAGUCUCUCCAGUGAUCCAAAUAGGAUCUACUCAUUUCUCCAGAUCUCUCCAGUGAUCUACUCAUUAUAAUCCAUCCAUCAUCGCAUCAGUGAUGUGGUGUUUUUGUCAUUAAAUCUAUGCACAAAAAAUACUUAGGUUCUCAAAAUUACAAUUUUACCAAGGUACUCUACUGGCAGUUUUGGGUUGGUUCCAGUUAGUGGAUUAAUAUAACCUCCAUUAAAAAAAAAAGAAAAGCUUAAAAAUGUUUGGAAACAACUUCAGUUUCUUCAGCAGUAUUGCAGGUUUCCCCCUUUUUCUUCUAUGUGCUUCUAUAGCUCUUCCAAAUAAAAAAUGUAUUUAAUCAAUGAAUAAAUAUGUGUCAAUGGCUAAAUACACCUAUUGAUUUAUAGAAGGCCUUCCUUUUUCUACUGCUCCUUCAAUCUUUCAUGGUAAAUAAAAUUAUAACUUUUUAGGCAUUUUUUAAAUCUAUGUAGAAUGUGUCAACAGUUUCUCUUUGAGGCUUUAUAAAAUGAACAAGAUAUAAUCAGCGAUGCUGACAGCUUUUGUUAUUAAUUUGAGGCUUAUACUAGUUUUUGUAAUCGCCCCUCUGGAAUAGAAAAAGAAUAAUCAUUCAUUUUACUGUCUGCAUUUCAUACACUAGGAAAAUGCUAUUGUGUUUGAAUUACCAAUGCUUUUGGAAAAUAUUUAGGACCCUUCUGUUUUUUCUCCCACUCUUAAAAAAAUGACAUCUGUUUUGUUGCAAUUAAGGAUAAAUGCAAGCACACACACAAAUAAUAAAAAACUUUAAACCUACAUUUUAUUACUGCUAUUUGACAGCUGUGGCACUAACCUUCAAAAAAAAAUCCACUGCUCAAAAAUACUUACAAAUUUUUUUAUGGUAGAUGCAAUUGUUCAGAAGCCAGACAGGGUCAGUUUAGAGGUAAGGCUGACACUUCUGUUUUUUAACUGUGCAGAAUGCAAAACUUAAAUUGGGCCUUAAAUUCUCACAGUGUUGAAAUACGGUUAUUUCUUGAGCAAAUAUUUACUUAAAAAUGGCAAGAAAUAUCAAUUUCAUCCUGUUUUACUAAAUACACAGCUAGUUUCAUAACCUUUACAUUCUUGAAGGCUUAACCCAGGACUUACAAACUCUAAAACCUGAUCCUGCAAGAGUCUCUGUGAGGAAAGACUGGUCAUCUUACUGGAGCUUUCCGUGUUUGCAUAAAUCUAACCACAGAGAGGGGCUGCUCUGCCAUCACUGCUGACACACGUGAGCUCAUGCUGCCCACACACCAUGCUGGUCAGAAGCUGUAGUAGCCUGGUGCUGAGCCAUCAGAGGCUAACAGCCAAACUAUGCAAACUGUGUACUUGUUUUCAGUGGUAAUGUGAUUUGUGCCUUAGUUUUCAAUUCAUUUCUUCUAUGAAAGUAUCUGUCUGGAAGAGAAAGGUACUGGAAAUCAUGAAAAGAGAAGGUCUUUGUGGCAGCUGCUGUCUUUGCCCAUGAGUUUCUCAUGCUUCUGAGUUCCCAUAUCACAGGUACUGUGGAUCUCAGUGUCUGAAAUAUGAAGAAUGUAUAUCCAGCAGUAAAGGAAGACGAAUCUUUGUCUUUUUAGUUAUGUUGGUAGUUCAGUGGCUUCAUUGCAGUAGUACAGCUUUCUGGCUGCAUAGGGCUCACUUUAUGGAAGUGCUGCAACUGGCUGGAUCACUCAGAAGGCAGCCAGGAAUUUGUAGGAAACUGGAAAUGUACGAUUCCUGAGGACUCCGUUUAUGUAAAGAGAAUCCCCAGAUGAGAGUGAAAACGAGUAGGAAGUGAAUCCUCUAUCAAAGUCUUGAGACAGAGUUCUUCUGGGAGAAGUGAGUCAGAGUUCCCCGAGCAUUUGGCAUCCCUUAGCUACUGAAAUAAAUCAGCCGAGUUGCGUGCAGUUAUGCGUGAUGCGGAGCAUGGGCUACUGCACUCCAGGUGGCAGGGUCAGGGAAGUGCAAAGGUGUUGGAGAGACAAGCUACAGGUGAUAGGUAUGUUCCACCUGACCCUGAAACCUUGCAUCAUACAUUGUGCUUCCUAGUUAAGGACAGAUCUAGAAAUUGGCAACAUGAAUUGAUUAAAGACUUUCUGAGCCAGAGGUUAUACUGUAUUUUAUAGGCAAUUCUUUCAUGAAUCUGUCUAGUCUCCCCUUGAACCCAUGUAAACUUCUAGCAUCCAUGUUUUGUAGCAGAGUCCCACAGUUUAACUUUAUGUCAUAUCACUAACUACUUCUCUUGGCUGUUUUGAACCUGUUGCCAGCUAAUUUCUGGUGUCCCUACAUUUUAUAUGGAAGAAGAUGUCAAGGAAAUCAGUCUUUGUCCUACCUUUUCAGUAACUUACGAUUUUAUACAUCUCUUGCUAACUCUGCCAGGAUGAAAAGUUCCAAACUUCAUGGUUCCUCACCAAAAAGCCGUUCUGUAGCUUUCGUCAUCCAUGCUUCCCUUCACUGAAUCUUCUUCAGAUGGGCUCUACACUUUUUAAAGUGGGACCUGAACUGUAGACAGAGUUCAAGAUGGAGGCAUAGCAUCAGUUUAAACACAGACAUGAUUAUUUUCUGUCUCCCUUUCCUACUAAUUCCUGGCAUAGUCAUGCAGCUUGGAUAAUGGGAUUUCAGCAGUGGUUGUCAUUACAAAGAUUGUCACCACAUAGCUUGAUGAAAAUCUAUCCCAGGACUUGCUGACACAAUGGCCAUUGAUAGAAUAUUUUCUGCUCAGAUUGCUUUUUGGUCUUGUUCUGACUUGGACUCAGGAAGCUAGCCAAAGGAGUCUGAGCCAUAUCAGCUUCCUAGCGACAUGUUAUGCAGUUGAACAUUAGAAAAAGAUGGACAGACUUUACACUCGUGGGACCUUUGGAAAUGUUUUAAAAGAUGGUCUUGAUUUGCUAAGCAUAAGUGUAUUUGCCUAUGGAUAACCUCUGAGUCCAGGGUCUAAAAGUAGGUGCUGCCAUGAAAUCUUUUCAUGGGUUCAUUUCAUACAUUUGUAGGUUGGAAAAGAACAUUGUGUAGUUGAUCCCAAAAUAACUAUGAGCUGCCACUGUGAAUAGGAAAACAGGGCCCUAAGACAUCUUAGGAGCAAUGUUUCUAGCGGAGUUUGGAAGGGAUUAAUGCCAUUGUCCUUGGCUCUGGCAAGAUACCAUCUAGAACACUGCAUGCCAUGCUGGUCAUGUAUAUUGAAGAGAAAUGAAUAAAACUGAAACUGGAGCAGAAAGCCACUACUGAGAUGAGGGAGAAUGGAAAGUUAGGAGCGCUGAGCUAGCUUAGUCUCAGACAAAGUCAGACAAAGGCUAAGAUGGACAUUUCUGUCUGUAAAUGCACAAAGGGUAAAUACGAUGGAGUAAGAGCUAUUUAAGGCCAAUGCUGGCACAAGAACAAAUGGAUAUAAACCAGUCACAAAUAUAUUUAGCAUGAAAAUCAGAAGAACGUUCUGGGAACAGCUUCUCAGUGGGAAUUAUGGUGGCAGAGGAUCUUAAGAUGGAACUUGAUACAUUUGUGAAAGGAAUUACAUAAUGUAGCAUUUGCAAAGGCUGGAGGCUGGAGUGACUCAGGAGAUCCUUUUACCUUACAUUCCAAUUUAUUUUGACCCCGAUAAGGCACAGCAUAAAAUUUCAUGCUUCAGUUCCUCUAUCUGUUCUAACCAUCUGCGACUAGACUUCAGCACCUCUCUUAAAAGUCAUUUAAAGAUUGAACAAGACAAUGAAUUUAUCAUAUCCUUUGGAGUAUUUGAAACAUGAAUUCCUGUUUGCUGUUCCUUAGAAAGGAAACAGUUUUAGAAAGUAUUGUCUAACAUAUAUAUACAAAAUAAUAUUUAUUAUCUUUUUAUACAUGGAGUAUUUUUUAUCCAAUCUUUCCUAGUUGACAGUGUUGCUUAUCAACAAAUUUUCCAUAGUAUCUAACCAGUACGUAAGAGAGGCGUUAUGAUUUGAGUUUCCUGCUGAAACGUAUUUGAUAACCAUUCCCUAGAUAAUACACUUACUAAAUGAACCAUGUAAAAGUUUCCCGCUUCUGUCCCUGGGAGUGCUGUCUUCACUGUGGUCUGAUGGUUCUAGCAAGAUACAGACUUUCUCAGGCAAGGCAUCUGUCACUGCCAGCCUCAGAAACAUUUGACUCACAUGUAUGAAUGAGAACCAGGAUCUGGUCUUUAGGGACAUUUCUGUCUGGCUUACAUAAUCUGUUUUUCAUAGGGAGAGGGAAAAGGAAUGCACAGGUUCUCUUCUUCCCAUUAGGCUGGUUCUUUCCAAAAUGUCUCUUUAAUAUACUGGGAGUGUUUUCUCUUCUGUUUUUAUUCCAUGUGGAUUUUUGGAGAUGUCUAUCACUCCUUUAUAAAACUAACAACUGCUUUCUCCUUCCUUUUAAACAGGCUUUCUUCAAAGGUAUUUUAUCUUUGAUCUGCAUGGAGUAUCCCUCAAGUUACUUACUGUCCACCAAAAGAACAUUGUGAAGACAGUGUUUUUGAGAAAGGCAAACUUGCUUCUGCCUAGUAGCCCUGUUUCUUCCAAGGCAGGCAGGCUCUCCUCUGUUCCCUCAGUAUUUGGGGCAGAUGCCCAUCUCCAGCAGUUUGCAUUCCUGAUGCUUCAUAUGAAGUCAAACAUUCUAAGUUGCCUUUAAAUGUGUUGUUUUGUAUUACCUCUAUUACUGUUUUGUAACCUUUGUAUUACAGUUCACCUGUCUGCAUAACAGAAAAAGACAUAUCAGUUUCUUUAUCAUAGUUUGAUAUGGCUAACUGAGGCUCCAGCCAGUUUUCAUACUCAGAAGUCCAGCUUGGGAUGGGCAACUCGAUGGUCACUGUUCUGCAAAUCAUGAACAUGGGCAAUCCUCACUGCCUUAAUAAAGUAUUUUUCAGACCAGA